UGUACAAAGGUAGCAUAAUCAUUUGUCUCUUAAUUGGAGUCUGGAAUGAAUGGUUGGAUGAAAAAUUUACUUUCUUUAUUUUAAAUAAAAAAUUUGAUUUUUAGAUUAAAAAGUCUAAAUGUUGAUAAAGGACGAGAAGACCCUAUAGAACUUUAUUUUCUUAGAUUAGUUAUUUAUUUGUAAAUGAUAUUUUACUAGUUGGUGUGAAUUUUGUUGGGGUGACAGAAAAAAUUUAAUAACUUUUUCUAUUUUUUUCACAUAUAUGUGAUUUAUUGAUCCUUUAUUAAGGAAACAAGAUUAAGUUACCUUAGGGAUAACAGCGUUAUUAUUUCAGAGAGUUCAUAUUGAUGAAAUAGUUUGCGACCUCGAUGUUGGAUUAAAAUUAAUUUCAGGAGUAGAAGAUUGAAAUAUUAGGUCUGUUCGACCUUUAAAUUUUUACAUGAUCUGAG
rnacentral:rRNA from 1 species